rnacentral:rRNA from 1 species
UAGGGAAUAUUGGGCAAUGGGCGAGAGCCUGACCCAGCCAUGCCGCGUGCAGGAAGAAGGCUUUCUGAGUCGUAAACUGCUUUUGACAGGGAAGAAUAAGGCUUACGUGUAGGCUGAUGACGGUACCUGCAGAAUAAGCACCGGCUAACUCCGUGCCAGCAGCCGCGGUAAUACGGAGGGUGCGAGCGUUGUCCGGAUUUAUUGGGUUUAAAGGGUGCGUAGGCGGCUUUUUAAGUCUGGGGUGAAAGCCCGCUGCUCAACAGCGGAACUGCCCUGGAUACUGGAGAGCUUGAGUACAGACGAGGUUGGCGGAAUGGACUGAGUAGCGGUGAAAUGCAUAGAUACAGUCCAGAACCCCGAUUGCGAAGGCAGCUGACUAGGCUGUUACUGACGCUGAGGCACGAAAGCGUGGGGAGCGAACAGG